rnacentral:lncRNA from 1 species
GUGGCAUAUGCCUGUAAUCCCAGCCACUGAGGCUGGAGGAUUGCAGGUUCGAAGCCAGCCUCAGCAACUUAUCAAGGACCUAAGCAACUUAGCAAGGCCCUAUCUCAACAUAAAAAAUAAAAGGCUGGGAUGUGGCUUAGUGGUUAACCACCCUUGGGUUCAAUCCCUGGUACAAAAAAGAAUCCUCAUUGCUUUUUGUAUAUUAGUAGUUAACUUCAUUCUUGCAUCUUAGAGGUAAGCAUUUUGAGUUCUGAAGAACUUGUCAACACAGUACCAUACAGGCAGAAGAGAAGGCUGAUUGUCCUGAUUAGAAUUCUUACAACACACAGAUUUUUAACUUCUGACAUGGAAAUUCAUCCUAAACCUCAACCAGACAGCUGUGCAGAGUUCUUGAGAUUUUCCCCUUGAGUUGGGGUGUAUCUGCCAGUUUGCAGGAGGCCAAAGCCUGAUUUGUGUUCCUCACAGGCUCACCACAUACAAAUCCUCUUGCAGGCUAAAUUUCAGGGUCUGUGUGCUUCUCAAUUGUAUUAGAAUGACUGGUAUUAGAAUUUGAAAAGGGCAGCCAGGAGUGAGGGGAGAUGUUCUGUUACUGGAUGGAUCUUACCUAUUGUGUUUGCCUAAAAAACAACUUCCUGCAGCCCUCAUUUUGUAAGAUUGGUUUCCAUAGUGGGGUUUUGUGGGGUAAGUAGCAAUAAAAACCCCAGGGAACCAUGGCAUUAAGUCACCAUUUGUAAGGUUUUGGUCUUGCGUAGACAUUGGAUAUUGUGCUGUGAAAUGGAAAUGACAGUGACAUCCACUCUUAUUAAAGAGCCCCUAAUCUCAUCCUGACAGAGGAGAACUUUGUGAGCCACCAAAUGCUUCAGGAGUGAUGUAAAUUAACUUGAAAAUGAAGGAGCAGGAACGCAGCAGGUGUGGGGUUGGCAGUAGGCACACAACAGAAGGGGACGUAGAUCCAGACUUGACAGGUGGCGUGUGCCCCUCGCUGCACAAAUGUAGAGUGUCCCAGGCCUCCAAUAAGUUUAGAACCUGAGUGGCCAGGAAGACCCUCAGGAGUGUCCAUGGUCUCAUCAGGAAGCCUGGCUGUGCCCUGCCUCUAGAGAGGUCAGGUUCCACCCAUGAUGCCCCCCAGUGUACUGUGGCAGAGAUGUUAAAGCAACUAUUGGCUUAUAGAUGAACCAGGAAACAUUCAUCUCCUGUUUUCAGAGUUUUAUUGAUUGAGAGAGAGAGACUUGAUUUGUACCCAAAGAUCGUUUUCAAGACAGAUGGUUCUGUUACCGCUGUUGGCCGGUGACGAGUCCUUGCUUCCCCAAUGUUGAAGAAUAACACCAGAAAAGCACGCCGAGGCAAGGUCAGAGUAGAAAUUAGAAGUUUAUUAAAGGACUGCAGAAAAGACUUCUCCCUGAGGAAGAAGGGGACCCAAGAGGUGGAAUCCGUGGAAGUGCGGUUGUCUCCCCUUUUUAUAGUUUUGGUGAUGGAAUGUAAGGGGAAGGCCCGAGGGGUGGGACACAGGUGGGCCAAACAAGUAAUCUGGGCAGGAAGGACUUCAUUAUCACUUCUUGGGAUGGGCUAUCUCCAAAUCUGUUGGGGCUGUUCCCACGGUUCUAUUAACAUUUCUUUGGGGUGGACUUUGGCCUAGGGCCUUUCAUUAACAUUUCAUGAGUUGUCCUGCGUUUCAUUGUCAGCAUGGCCUCCAUUUUAGAUUUCACUUGAUAUGAUAUUAGACCCAAUUUACCUAACUACACUGACUACCUAACUUUAAAUCUGGCUUCAGUUCUGCCCACCUUCAGCAAGUUUGGGAGUAUCCAUAAAGCUUGUUCUACUCAGAUGACUUCAGAAAAUGUGUCACAUACCCACUUUAUUUUAGGAAGACAUUAUUAAAAUGAAGAUUUUGAUUCUGUAGGUCCAAGAGUCUGAGAGUGCCUUUCUGACAAGCUCCCACACAGUGCCAAUGCCAGG